GCGGGUAUGCUGGAAUUGGUAGACAGGAUGGAUUUAGGUUCCAUUGCCGAGAGACGUUGGGGUUCGAGUCCCCAUACCCGCA
rnacentral:tRNA from 1 species